rnacentral:rRNA from 1 species
CAAUAGCGUAUAUUAUUGAUGUUGCAGUUGAAACGUUCGUAGUCGACUUCUAUAUGCUAAAGUACAUCGUCAUUGAUGAUGACGUUGUAGUCAUAGCAUAGAUAGUGCAAGGGUAAACAUAUGUUCCAUAUGUUUUGCUUUUGUACCUUACUUUGAGUGAAUCGGCGUGUUCCACGCAGGCUUUGUGCCUUGAACGAUUUACCAUAGCAUAAUCAGAUUGUGAGGAAACUUCCUUGUUUGUUUGGAAGUUUUUUCAAUACUGAUAAGAACGGUCGAGGGCAUUCGUAUUCGACUGCUAGAGGUGAAAUUCUUUGAUUAGUCGAGGACGAACUAUUGCGAAAGCAUCUGCCAAGGACGUUUCUUUUGA